GGCUGGCUCCUAAAGGUUACCUCACCGACUUCGGGUGUUACAAACUCUCGUGGUGUGACGGGCGGUGUGUACAAGGCCCGGGAACGUAUUCACCGCGGCGUGCUGAUCCGCGAUUACUAGCGAUUCCGACUUCAUGUAGGCGAGUUGCAGCCUACAAUCCGAACUGAGACUGGCUUUAAGAGAUUAGCUUGCCGUCACCGACUUGCGACUCGUUGUACCAGCCAUUGUAGCACGUGUGUAGCCCAGGUCAUAAGGGGCAUGAUGAUUUGACGUCAUCCCCACCUUCCUCCGGUUUAUUACCGGCAGUCUCGCUAGAGUGCCCAACUCAAUGAUGGCAACUAACAAUAAGGGUUGCGCUCGUUGCGGGACUUAACCCAACAUCUCACGACACGAGCUGACGACAACCAUGCACCACCUGUCACCGAUGUUCCGAAGAAAAACUCUAUCUCUAGAGCGGGCAUCGGGAUGUCAAGACCUGGUAAGGUUCUUCGCGUUGCUUCGAAUUAAACCACAUGCUCCACCGCUUGUGCGGGCCCCCGUCAAUUCCUUUGAGUUUCAACCUUGCGGUCGUACUCCCCAGGCGGAGUGCUUAAUGCGUUAGCUGCGGCACUGAGUCCCGGAAAGGACCCAACACCUAGCACUCAUCGUUUACGGCGUGGACUACCAGGGUAUCUAAUCCUGUUUGCUCCCCACGCUUUCGAGCCUCAGCGUCAGUUACAGACCAGAGAGCCGCUUUCGCCACCGGUGUUCCUCCAUAUAUCUACGCAUUUCACCGCUACACAUGGAAUUCCACUCUCCCCUUCUGCACUCAAGUCUCACAGUUUCCAAAGCGUACAAUGGUUAAGCCACUGCCUUUAACUUCAGACUUAUGAAACCGCCUGCGCUCGCUUUACGCCCAAUAAAUCCGGACAACGCUCGGGACCUACGUAUUACCGCGGCUGCUGGCACGUAGUUAGCCGUCCCUUUCUGGUAAGAUACCGUCACGACAUGGAUUUUCCACUCCCACAUCCGUUCUUCUCUUACAACAGAGCUUUACGAUCCGAAAACCUUCUUCACUCACGCGGCGUUGCUCGGUCAGGGUUGCCCCCAUUGCCGAAGAUUCCCUACUGCUGCCUCCCGUAGGAGUCUGGGCCGUGUCUCAGUCCCAGUGUGGCCGAUCACCCUCUCAGGUCGGCUAUGUAUCGUCGCCUUGGUAAGCCGUUACCUUACCAACUAGCUAAUACAACGCAGGUCCAUCUGAUAGUGGAGCAGUUGCCCCUUUUAAACUAAUAACAUGUGUUAUUACCUCUUAUGCGGUAUUAGCUAUCGUUUCCAAUAGUUAUCCCCCGCUAUCAGGCAGGUUACCUACGCGUUACUCACCCGUUCGCAACUCAUCCAGAAGAAGCAAGCUCCCUCCUUCAGCGUUCUACU
rnacentral:rRNA from 1 species